AAAUGUUUUUCUAGAACAUUUUGCAAGAUAUAUUUUUACCUAACAGACACCUAGAUUAUAAAUAAAUAAACUCAUAACUUUUAUAACCAAUAUUCUAAAUAUAUAUAUAUAUAUAUUUAAAUAGGUGGAACUAAAUUUAUUUUUAAUUUUGAAUAUCCUACCUUAAAUUUUGCUCAUUACUAUGUCUGCAAAAAUCAUUAUGAUGUUUUGCUACAAUUCAUUAUAAUUCUUUCUUAUACUUGAUUUGGGAUUUUUUUUGCAGCUCUCUGGUAGUUGAAAACAAAUCAACAAGUACACACAAAUGUGAAUAGAAAUAAAUCAUAAAUAUACUAAAUGCAAGCAAUUACUUAAACAUAGUCAAACAUGCACAUUAUGCAUGACUUUUCCAAUCAAUAAAGUGAGUUGUUGUUUCAAAA
rnacentral:lncRNA from 1 species